AAGUGGAUAGUGAAACCUGGUGGCUCAACCAUACAGACUAUUAUCCAAACUGCUGAGCUCGAGAAUGGUAGAGGUAGCUGGAAUUUCGUGUGUAGGAGUGAAAUCCGUAGAUAUAGGGAGGAACACCGAUGGCGUAGGCAGGUGACUGGCUCAUUCUUGACACUAAGGCACGAAAGCGUGGGGAGCAAACGGGAUUAGAUACCCCGGUAGUCCACGCCGUAAACUAUGGAUGCUA
rnacentral:rRNA from 1 species